rnacentral:rRNA from 1 species
AGAGCGAACGCUGGCGGCAUGCCUAAUACAUGCAAGUCGAACGAGAUCUUCGGAUCUAGUGGCGCACGGGUGCGUAACGCGUGGGAAUCUACCCUUGGGUUCGGAAUAACAGUUGGAAACGACUGCUAAUACCGGAUGAUGACGAAAGUCCAAAGAUUUAUCGCCCAAGGAUGAGCCCGCGUAGGAUUAGCUAGUUGGUGAGGUAAGCUCACCAAGGCUACGAUCCUUAGCUGGUCUGAGAGGAUGAUCAGCCACACUGGGACUGAGACACGGCCCAGACUCCGUACGGGAGGCAGCAGGUAGGAAUAUUGGACAAGUGGGGACAACCUGACUCAGCAA